rnacentral:rRNA from 1 species
CACGUAGGGGGCAAGCGUUGUCCGGAUUUAUUGGGCGUAAAGAGCUCGUAGGUGGUUCGGUAAGUCGGGUGUGAAAACUCUGGGCUCAACUCAGAGACGCCACCCGAUACUGCUGUGACUUGAGUCUGGUAGGGGAGUGUGGAAUUCCCAGUGUAGCGGUGGAAUGCGCAGAUAUUGGGAGGAACACCAGUGGCGAAGGCGGCACUCUGGGCCAGUACUGACACUGAGGAGCGAAAGCGUGGGUAGCGAACAGG